rnacentral:rRNA from 1 species
AUUGAACGCUGGCGGCAGGCUUAACACAUGCAAGUCGAGCGGGGUGAUGGUGCUUGCACUAUCACUUAGCGGCGGACGGGUGAGUAAUGCUUAGGAAUCUGCCUAUUAGUGGGGGACAACAUCUCGAAAGGGAUGCUAAUACCGCAUACGUCCUACGGGAGAAAGCAGGGGAUCACUUGUGACCUUGCGCUAAUAGAUGAGCCUAAGUCGGAUUAGCUAGUUGGUGGGGUAAAGGCCUACCAAAGCGACGAUCUGUAGCGGGUCUGAGAGGAGGAUGCGCAACACUUGUACUGAGACACGGCCCAGACUCCUACGGGAGGCAGCAUUGGGGAAUAUUGGACAAUGGGGGGAACCCUGAUCCAGCCAUGACGCGUGUGAAGAAGGCCUUAUGGUUGUAAAGCACUUUAAGCGAGGAGGAGGCUCUUUUGGUUAAUACCCAAGAUGAGUGGACGUUACUCGCAGAAUAAGCACCGGCUAACUCUGUGCCAGCCGCCGCCGUAA